rnacentral:rRNA from 1 species
UGCAGUCGAACGAUGAUGAGUAGCUUGCUACUCUGAUUAGUGGCGCACGGGUGAGUAAUAUAUAGAUAACGUACCUCUUAGACCGGGAUAGCCAUUGGAAACGAUGAUUAAUACUAGAUACUCCUUCUAGCUCUAAUGCUAGUCGGGAAAGUUUUUUCGCUAAGAGAUCGGUCUAUAUCCUAUCAGUUAGUUGGUGAGGUAAUGGCUCACCAAGGCAAUGACAGGUAGCGGGUUUGAGAGGAUGAUCCGCCACCCUGGUACUGAGACACGGACCAGACUCCUACGGGAGGCAGCAGUGAGGAAUAUUGCACAAUGGGGGAAACCCUGAUGCAGCAACGCCGCGUGGAGGAUGACGCAUUUCGGUGUGUAAACUCCUUUUAUAUGUCAAGAAAAUGACGGUAGCAUAUGAAUAAGCACCGGCUAACUCCGUGCCAGCAGCCGCGGUAAUACGGAGGGUGCAAGCGUUAUUCGGAAUCACUGGGCGUAAAGGACGCGUAGGCGGGUUUGUAAGUCAGGUGUGAAAUCCUACAGCUUAACUGUAGAACUGCACUUGAAACUACUGACCUAGAGUAUGGGAGGGGGAGAUGGAAUUAGUGGGUGUAGGGGUAAAAUCCGUAAAUAUCACUAAGAAUACCUAAAGCGAGGCGAUCUCCGGAAACAUAACUGACGCUAAUGCGUGAAAACGUGGGGAGCAAACAGGAAUAUAUACCCUGGUAAUCCACGCCCUAAACAACGAACAUUGGUCG